rnacentral:snRNA from 1 species
GGAGAAGAUUAGCAUGGCCCCUGCUCAGGAGGGCAUGCAAACUCAUGAAAUGUUCCAUAGUUUU